UACGUAGGUGACAAGCGUUGUCCGGAUUUACUGGGCGUAAAGCGUGCGCAGGCGGUUAUGUAAGACAGGUGUGAAAUCCCCGGGCUCAACCUGGGAACUGCAUUUGUGACUGUAGAGCUGGAGUGCGGCAGAGGGGGAUGGAAUUCCGCGUGUAGCAGUGAAAUGCGUAGAUAUCUGGAGGAACACCGGUGGCGAAGGCGGCAUCCUGGACCGACACUGACGCUGAGGAGCGAAAGCCAGGGGAGCAAACGGG
rnacentral:rRNA from 1 species